UACGUAGGGCGCAAGCGUUUGUCCGGAAUUAUUGGGCGUAAAGGGCGCGUAGGCGGCUUUGCAAGUGACGGGUGAAAUCCCUCGGCUUAACCGAGGAACUGCCUGUCAGACUGCAUGGCUUGAGACCGGGAGAGGUGAGUGGAAUUCCCAGUGUAGCGGUGAAAUGCGUAGAUAUUGGGAGGAACACCAGUGGCGAAGGCGGCUCACUGGACCGGUACUGACGCUGAGGCGCGAAAGCGUGGGUAGCAAACAGG
rnacentral:rRNA from 1 species